AAGUGUUCGGAUCGCUGUGAUGCGGGCGGUUCGCCGCCCGUGACUCUGCGAGAAGUCCAUUGAACCUUAUCAUUUAGAGGAAGGAGAAGUCGUAACAAGGUUUCCGUAGGUGAACCUGCGGAAGGAUCAUUGUCGAGACCGAAAUAUAUCGAGCGAUUCGGAGAACCUGUGAACGAGCGAUGGCACUCGCCGUCGCGUAACAGCUGUCCUGUUCGUUGGCCUCGUCGGGGCCACGAUUUAGGGCGGAUGAAACUCAAACCGGCGCAGCUACGCGCCAAGGGAAUACAAAAGACACGAGCCCUCAUCGGGUUCGAUGGCGUGGAGUGCUGUCGCACACCACAUGGAUCAAAAUGACUCUCGGCAAUGGAUAUCUCGGCUCUCGCAUCGAUGAAGAGCGCAGCGAAAUGCGAUACGUGGUGCGAAUUGCAGAAUCCCGCGAACCAUCGAGAAUUUGAACGCAAGUUGCGCCCGAGGCCAGCUGGCCAAGGGCACGUCCGCCUGGGCGUCAAGCGUUGCGUCGCUCCGUGCCAGCUCCAUCCCACCCAACGGGUUUGCAUGCAGAUUGGUCGGAUGUGCAGAGUGGCUCGUCGUGCCCACGGGCGUGGCGGGCUGAAGAGCGGGUGAUCGUCUCGUUGGCCACGAACAACAAGGGGUGGAUGAAAAUUGUGCCUGUGUUGUAUCGUGCUGGCCUGAGAAGAGAUUAUACCCUUCGAAUGAUCCCAGCCCAAGCGUUGAUCCAAGGACGACGGCUUGGAAUGCGACCCCAGGAUGGGCGAGGCCACCCGCUGAGUUUAAGCAUAUCAAUAAGCGGAGGAGAAGAACUUACAAGGAUUCCCCUAGUAACGGCGAGCGAACCGGGGAAUUCUAAAAU
rnacentral:rRNA from 1 species